UACGUAGGGGGCAAGCGUUAUCCGGAUUUACUGGGUGUAAAGGGAGCGUAGACGGUAGUGCAAGUCUGGAGUGAAAGGCGGGGGCCCAACCCCCGGACUGCUCUGGAAACUGUGCGACUGGAGUGCAGGAGAGGUAAGUGGAAUUCCUAGUGUAGCGGUGAAAUGCGUAGAUAUUAGGAGGAACACCAGUGGCGAAGGCGGCUUACUGGACUGUAACUGACGUUGAGGCUCGAAAGCGUGGGGAGCAAACAGG
rnacentral:rRNA from 1 species